rnacentral:lncRNA from 1 species
GUGACGACACCAUCUUUUUUCUUUGGAUUAGUGCUACUUCACUCUUACACAUAGUAAAGCUGCGACAGUAUGAUAAACGUCAUUUUUAAGUUAGGAGAAGUACGAAGUUAGCUGAUGUCUUUCCUGUUAUUUUUAUUUAGUCACUGUUUACAUUGGACAUUGACAUUUAUUUGUAGAUGUUGUUAGACGAAUAUUCUGUUUGGUUUUGUUUUUUAUUGUUAAUUGUGCAGCGAAAUUGUGAUAGUAAAUUAAAUAUAAAGUUGUUUAUAGCCUACAGAACUGAAUUAUCCCAUAGUAAUUAUCAGUUUGUGUCAAUUUGUUUGUGUGCAAAAAAGAAAAAACACCUUUCCUUGUGUUUGACCGACUUGUAGCAAGGGCUUUCUUGAGAAGCCUGUAAAUUGCGGGAAUAGGACAGACAGGGAUAAAAUCCUCACUUUUUACUGUUCCCAAGGCUAUACAUUUCCCCCAUGCAAUACAUUUAAAUGAAUUUUAUCCAAACAAAGGCAGGAACAUUGGAUAAAAGCAAUAAAGAGAACAGACCACAAAUUAAAAUAUGAGAGUAUGUAGUAAACAUUUUAUAAGUGGAAUAAACACCAGCUAUUUUAAAUGUAGGAAAAGGAGAAACUGCUGGAAUAUAAUUUUACACAAAUGUUUUUGACUAUUGAAGAUUUGGAUAAACAACAGAAGUUACUUUGGGCUAUAGCUAUGUGCAGAUUUAUUUCCUUGUGGAUUACUAUGUUUAUUCUUUUUAACUAUACUUCCUAUAUUGUUUGUGAGAUUAAUAUUAUUAUUUAAUUGAUUAUAUUAAUAUUUUGUAAUAAUAAUCAAUGCUUUGGUUUAACAAAUAGACAACUUAGAAUAGAAAAA